UAGGGCCAACCACCACCAUGACCAGUAUAUAUGGUAUUGGAAAUGAGGCUGGGAAGGGUCUGGGUACACCAGCCAAGCCAGUUCCAGUUCUCCUGUCUCCACCUCACAUCUCACAGCUGCUCCCAGCUUUGCAUGGGUUUAGGGUAUUCAAACUCAGGUCCUCACACCUGCACAUCUGAGCCGCCUUCUCCAGCCCACGUAUAAAACUACGCAAGGCACAGCCUGCUGCUCCAGCUCUUGGCAGAUGCUGAAACAGACAGGCUCACUGUGUCCAGGAGUGAAGACUGGCCUGCAUACCACAGUAAGUUUCACCUCAAAACCAAACAACAAUGCUGUUAUUGGAAUUUGGAAGAAAUUGAUUCCUCUCUCUUACUGGCUUAAAAGUUAUGAAUCUUCAGUGACAGAACACCAAUAUACCUAAGACUGUGAGGCCUACAGUCUUUUCACAUAGUGUAAAUGCUGGUAGAAAAAUGACUGCAUCAUCAGCUUCCUAGAACUUCACAAUUCAUAUCCACAUAUUCUGGGAGAAUUAAGUACGUUUAAAUGACAUUUAAUAAAGUCAUUAAACCUC